GCGGAGGAAAAGAAACCAACAGGGAUUGCCCCAGUAACGGCGAGUGAAGCGGCAACAGCUCAAAUUUGAAAUCUGGUCCCCUUGCGGGGCCCGAGUUGUAAUUUGAAGAGGAUGCUUCUGGCAAGGUGCCUUCCGAGUUCCCUGGAACGGGACGCCGCAGAGGGUGAGAGCCCCGUACGGUAGGACGCCGAGCCUCUGUGAAGCUCCUUCGACGAGUCGAGUAGUUUGGGAAUGCUGCUCAAAAUGGGAGGUAAACCCCUUCUAAAGCUAAAUACCGGCCAGAGACCGAUAGCGCACAAGUAGAGUGAUCGAAAGAUGAAAAGCACUUUGAAAAGAGAGUUAAAAAGCACGUGAAAUUGUUGAAAGGGAAGCGCUUGCGACCAGACUCGCGCCCGUCGGAUCAGCCGUCGCUUGUCGGCGGCGCACUCCGGCGGGCUCGGGCCAGCAUCAGUUCGCCUCGGGGGGAGAAAGGCGGCAGGAAUGUGGCUCCUCGGAGUGUUAUAGCCUGCCGUGUAAUACCCCC
rnacentral:sRNA from 1 species